CCUGCCCCUACAAGUGUGGCUGCUAUGUCACAUGUGCAUCAGUAGGUGGCAGAGAGACAGGCUAUUUCUUCACUCUGUUCUGAUUUGUGAACAUUUAAAUGAUUGAUUAACAUU
ensembl:snoRNA Gm25152 predicted gene, 25152